rnacentral:snoRNA from 1 species
AUGCAGGUAUUAUUAUAAUAUAACAGAAGUGCUUUAUUGCUAUUCUUUCUGCUUAAAGAGGGAGAUAUACAUAACUAUCUCUAACUGCUUUCCAUAAUAAGACAGAAAUGUUUGGUCUCAAACAC